rnacentral:rRNA from 1 species
AGAUUGAACGCUGGCGGCAUGCUUUACACAUGCAAGUCGAACGGUAACAGGCCGCAAGGUGCUGACGAGUGGCGAACGGGUGAGUAAUGCAUCGGAACGUGCCCAGUCGUGGGGGAUAACGCAGCGAAAGCUGUGCUAAUACCGCAUACGAUCUAUGGAUGAAAGCGGGGGACCGAAAGGCCUCGCGCGAUUGGAGCGGCCGAUGUCAGAUUAGCUAGUUGGUGGGGUAAAGGCCCACCAAGGCGACGAUCUGUAGCUGGUCUGAGAGGACGACCAGCCACACUGGAACUGAGACACGGUCCAGACUCCUACGGGAGGCAGCAGUGGGGAAUUUUGGACAAUGGGCGCAAGCCUGAUCCAGCAAUGCCGCGUGCAGGAAGAAGGCCUUCGGUUGUAAACGUGCUUUUGUACGGAACGAACGGUACGUGGUUAAUACCGUCGGCUAAGUGACGGUACCGUAAGAAUAAGCGACCGCUAACUACGUGCCAGCACGCCGUA